GACGAACGCUGGCGGCGUGCUUAACACAUGCAAGUCGAACGGAAAGGCCCUGCUUUUGUGGGGUGCUCGAGUGGCGAACGGGUGAGUAACACGUGAGUAACCUGCCCUUGACUUUGGGAUAACUUCAGGAAACUGGGGCUAAUACCGGAUAGGAGCUCCUGCUGCAUGGGGGGGGUUGGAAAGUUUCGGCGGUUGGGGAUGGACUCGCGGCUUAUCAGCUUGUUGGUGGGGUAGUGGCUUACCAAGGCUUUGACGGGUAGCCGGCCUGAGAGGGUGACCGGCCACAUUGGGACUGAGGUACGGCCCAGACUCCUACGGGAGGCAGCAGUGGAGAAUAUUGCACAAUGGGCGGAAGCCUGAUGCAGCAACGCCGCGUGCGGGAUGACGGCCUUCGGGUUGUAAACCGCUUUCGCCUGUGACGAAGCGUGAGUGACGGUAAUGGGUAAAGAAGCACCGGCUAACUACGUG
rnacentral:rRNA from 1 species